rnacentral:rRNA from 1 species
UUUAUUGGAGAGUUUGAUCCUGGCUCAGGAUGAACGCUGGCGGCGUGCCUAAUACAUGCAAGUCGAGCGAACGGAUUAAGAGCUUGCUCUUAUGAAGUUAGCGGCGGACGGGUGAGUAACACGUGGGUAACCUGCCCAUAAGACUGGGAUAACUCCGGGAAACCGGGGCUAAUACCGGAUAAUAUUUUGAACUGCAUAGUUCGAAAUUGAAAGGCGGCUUCGGCUGUCACUUAUGGAUGGACCCGCGUCGCAUUAGCUAGUUGGUGAGGUAACGGCUCACCAAGGCAACGAUGCGUAGCCGACCUGAGAGGGUGAUCGGCCACACUGGGACUGAGACACGGCCCAGACUCCUACGGGAGGCAGCAGUAGGGAAUCUUCCGCAAUGGACGAAAGUCUGACGGAGCAACGCCGCGUGAGUGAUGAAGGCUUUCGGGUCGUAAAACUCUGUUGUUAGGGAAGAACAAGUGCUAGUAAGUGCUAGU